UCUGGAUGACAGCAGCAGUCAGGAGCC
rnacentral:piRNA from 1 species